GACGAACGCUGGCGGCGUGCCUAAUACAUGCAAGUCGAACGCAGUGGGGACGGGUGAGUAACACGUGGGUAACCUCCCAUCAGAGGGGAUAACACUUGGAAACAGGUGCUAAACCGAUACUGAUGGAUGGAACCGCGGUGCAUUAGCUAGUUGGUGAGGUAACGGCUCACCAAGGCGACGAUGCAUAGCCGGCCUGAGAGGGUGAUCGGCCACACUGGAACUGAGACACGGCCCAGACUCCUACGGGAGGCAGCAGUGGGGAAUAUUGGGCAAUGGACGAAAGUCUGACCGAGCAAUGCCGCGUGUGUGAAGAAGGUUUUCGGAUCGUAAAACACUGUUGUUAGGGAGGCGGUAUCUAACCAAAAAGCCACGGCUAACUACGUGCCAGCAGCCGCGGUAAUUC
rnacentral:rRNA from 1 species